GGAAUGGACUGCUGAUAUAUACAAAAACAUGGGUACAUUUGACUUACAUUCUAAAAGAAAAAAGCAAAACUAUAGGAGCAGAGAACAGAAUGGAAGUCACCAGGAUUUCAGGUUGGGGAAAGAAAUUGACUACAAAGGGACAACAGUAAGUAAUUUGGGGGGUGAUGGGAUCACUCUAUUUGUUGAUUGUGGGUGGUAGUUACAAGAUUCUAUGCAUUGAUCAAAAUUUACAUACAUAUACAUCACAAAACUAGAUUUAAUUGUAUAUAAACUUAAUUUUUAAAAAAGCUUCCAGACACUUCUCUAAAUCCUAUGGCUUGUUUUUCCUUGAAUAUCAGCAAUUGACUAAAGACUAACUAAAAUGGAUCCCAACCACAAUAAACUGUCCAUAUUUAAAUCUGAUUUGCACAUUAAAAAGUUAAGCUGAAUUAAUAAGAUACAAAACCUAAAUAAUUUAACUCAAAAAUUAGUAGCAUCUGAAUAAAAACUGAAUCCUACAUGCCCAUAUCAUUAUUUUAUGUAACUUUAAAUUGUUCUGAUCCAUCUCCCUCUAGUUUCUUCUCUUACUAUAAUCUCAAAUAUUUUACUCUCUUUUGAAUACAUGAAGUCUGAAUAAGAUUAUAGUUUUCCAUAAAAACCUCCUUCACAAGAAACAAAUUUUACAAAGGCCAAGCUAAGAAUUAGUGAUGUCAUGGAAAAUUCAAGGAAAAAUAUUGCUAUUGGGUUGUUUCUUGGGGGGAGAGAUGCUUUCAAAAUAUCCAUUUUGUCUGUGUAUUGCUAAAAUCCUCAAAUUAUUUUUUUUGACCUUCUCUAAUUGGCCUGAAACAACAAAGUCACAAGCCAGUCUGGCUUCUUCCUGCUGCAAUUCCCAAAAUACCACUGUUUCUUCCAAAAAUUAAGUAAGACAGGAUCAUGAAACAAAAUAUUUUGAUUAAGAUGCUUUGGCCUUCAAUUAAAUUUGGACCACUUGGAAACUCUUGUGAGCUUCAGUCUCACAGGAAAAGAAACUGUAGAUAAUAUCAAAAAAGCCAAAGUUUCCUCUCAUGAAAUGAAGAUAAACCCAUUUAUUUUAAAAGUUUAGAUAAUUUAAGUGAGGCUACCAGACCUUUUAUAAACCCUUACAUUAUUAGGGGUUCUAGGGAUCAUUUUAAAUACACCAACAGAUUGAAUAAGAUCAGUCAACUAAAUCUCAUUAGAAACAAACUCUUGAGGCAAAAGACUUUCUCAAGAAGCCAACAUCAGGACACUAUAUUAUUUGAGGCUUUUAAAAUCUUUAUAUUGAUGACUAAUCUGAAUAUUGCAAGCAGAAAAUAAAGCUGAUACAUUGUGCUGAAAAUACAAAUUUCCUCAAAUAAUAAUAAACUUUGUUUUAGGAGAUAGAGUAAUAAUACAAAAACACCUAACAAAUUAUGAUGCAGAAAAAGACAAAGAGAUUAGAAAAAUCUCAUUUCCAACAGUCUCUCCUUCCCAUCAUGAAUUUUCCUAAGCCAAAAAGAAAAUGCAAGCCACUGAGUAAGAAUGAAUUUAAUUUGUUGCUUUAUACUAGAGCAACCUUGGCCUUCCAAAUACUCUUUUGGGAUCACACAUAGAUUUAAAAACAUAGAAGUUUUUAAAUCUUCUAUUGUCCCUUGAAUCCUUAUUCUUGCUAUUUCCUGGCAUGAAUUAAACCCAAACACAUGUAGCAAAAUAAUGUUUCAGGGCACUCAAUUCUGAUGUAUCUUAUAUUUUUGUGUUUUCUUUCUCCCAUUUACGCCUGUAGCAAAUUCUGUGUCAUCUUGUCACAGGGGAGCUUUGCCAAGGGUCAUUGUACAGGCCAAAGUGUACAUCCUUGGGAUGGGGAAAUAUCUACCCAUUGGAAGCAGUGUUUUUUUUCUUCAUCGCGAGGUACCAUAUGCUCACCUAACAAGACACUUAUGGUGAUAUUCCUGCCCAGCAGGAGACAUUUUUCUUAUCCCUGUGGGUUUGUGAUAAUGGAGAAGCUAAAAACAGUGGAGAAAAUAGAACUGGAUGAAAAAAAUAAGCCUAAAUGCACUGAGGGAGGAGAGUUAGAAGUGAGAGAGAUUUCCUCUAGAGCAGAAGGAGAUUCUGUCAAGCUGAAAAAGAAGUCAGUGGUUCUUGGGAGCAGAAGGAACCAGUUGGUGUCCCCUAGAACAUAGCAGUAUCUGAGAGGGAAAAGAGGCCCAGGACCACAGAAUCAGAGAAGCUCAUCUAAAGGGGCUAUUUGGGUUCCAGAGUAAAUUUCUUCUCAGAUCAUCAAUGACUAGAGGGUAUCCCCAGUCCUAGAAAAAAGUUAAGAAAUGGAGCAACUAUGAGGUGGUGAGGAGUGCGUAGACUGAGGUUCAGUUUUCCAGCCAAAAGGUGUGGUAGAAAGCUUCAUGAUCAGAUUAGGUUGAAAUUGCACAACCAGAUUUGAGACCUGACAGGCAUGUCAAGAACACAAAUUCAGAAGAAUCCUUUAAUGGUCCUGGGUCAUGUUUCAAGAGAAGGGAACCUUUUGUCAUAAGAGUCUCUUGUGGACUAAUAUCUAUGGUGGAAACUUGAAAACGUCAAGUCAUUUAAACUCACAGCAACAGUGCAAAGUAAAUUCUAAUUUAGCCUUCUUUACACUUUGGGAAAGGGAGACUCAGAAAGGUGAAGCAAUUUGUACAAGGAUAUUUAGUGAGUAAAUCGCAAAGUGAACUGAGACCCUCAAUCUCCUCACCACCAAAGCUUAGUAUUCCACAUACCCAUGGUCUUCAAUGUUCCACAAAACCUAAAAGGGGUUCAGUGGCUCCAAAUGUUCAUUUAAUGAAAUUUUGUUUUUUAUAGUUUUAGGCACUUUUAAAACGAAUAAAAAGCAACACACAAAUUCUACAAUUUUGGCAGCCACAAAUACAUUGACUUUGUGGUCAGAUUAAUUGGGUUUCAUUCACAUCUCAGAAUAAAGCUUCCUCUAUCAUCUCUAGACACAAGUUUGCACUUUCUGUAAUUGUAUCAUGGUUAGGAAGAUUAUAGAUCCAUUUUGUUUAGGGGAAGGUGGUUAAUUCAGUUGGGUGAAUAUUCACUAAUAUAAAAUGGCACAGAGACAGAACUAAAGCAAAUGUGUGCUGUGUUCAAAUGCCAAGCAAUGCUCAAAUACUUCAGUUUGGAAAAAGCGGCCAUAUUGGCAAAGAAGAGCAGUAAUAAUAAGUACACGAGUGCCUCCUUACAUUUGGGAAGUAUCUAUUACUGACAGUUUUGUGUUUCUAGGAUCCAUGUAAUUGAAUAUUAAGUAUGCAAGGCAAGCUGUUAACAUGUUCCUCAAUUCCCCAUAUUUUCUGUAAGCUAGUACUGAAACAAGAGGCUUGAUUCAAGUUCUUUUUUUUUUCUUUCACUUUGGCACAUCAUUGGAGAUGGGGUGCACUUCAUACUGGUAUCAAGGAGAACAUAAUAUCUGGUUGUCCUAUGUUUAACAAUGAUAUUUGGGUUCAGGUGAUAGCAGUCAGAUCUGUCAUGAAUGUCCCAAACUGUCACCUAAUGGUUUUAGCAGCUAUUGGUGAUAGUUAUCUGAAUCUAUUCUUUCAUCAGGUCUUUUUUUAACUUUAUUUAUUUAUUUUUAUAUGGUGCUGAGGAUUGAACCCAGUGACUCAAACAUGUUAAGCGAGCACUCUACCACUGAGUCACAACUCCAGCCCAUCAUCAAGUUUUUUUUUUUUUUUAUUAGUUGUUGAUGGACCUUUAUUUAUUUUUAUGUGGUACUGAGAAUCAAACCCAGUGCCUCACACAUGUUAGGAAAGUGCUUUGCUUUACCACUGAGCCAUGACCUCAGCCCAGGUUUUUUUUUUUUUUUUUAAUGGUAACUUUCUAAUUCCAUUAUUUCUCCUGAAUUCUUAAGCUGUGAUUCUCUUAAAAACAAGAACUUAGUUUUAUCAGUUAUUUGGUUACCCUGAAAUCAGUGGAAUCCAGAAUGUGGAAAGGUCUAUAGGUCAAAUUAUCUAGUUUCUUAAACAAAUACACAUGGUUUUUAAAAAAUGAGGGGAACUGCUACAGAUUAAAAUAGACAUAUCAAUCAUAUGAUUCUUAUUUGGAACCCAAAUCAAAGACCAAAUGGUUUUGAUUUGGGUUUUUUUAAAGGACAUUUGUGAGGGCUAGGGAUGUAGCCCAGUGGUAGAGCAUGUGCUAUAGCAUCUUUGAGGUCCUGGAUUUCAUCCCCAGCACUUCAAAAUAAAAUAAAAUGAAACAAAAUGGACAUGCUUGAGACAAUCAGGAAGAUUGACAAUUAUCUGUGUAUUAGAUACCAAAGUAUAAAAUUAUGAUCACUUUUGUGGUUGUGAUAAGAGUCUUUUCCAUUAGAUCAGUACUGAAGUAUUUAUAAUGCAAUGAUGUUAUAUUUUGAAUUUUCUAUAAAAUGUUCCAUUCCCUCUCCCCCCAAAAGAAGAGGCUUAGAAAAGAAUAGCAGAAAGAUGAGGGUAUUGAAGCUGGGUUGAUAGGUACAUGGGAGUAUGUUUUUCUUUUCUUUUUAUUUCUGUGCAUAUUACUUUCCAUAAUAAGUCUUUAAAGAAAUUAAUUCAGUUAUUUGAUUAGAUCUAGAUAUCACUGAAAAGAAAACAGUUACCAUUUGCAAAGAUUUAUCUAUGCGUUAUUCAACAUUUUCUGUUAAUCAACAGAGCGUAUCAACUUAAGUUUCAAUGACAUACUCUGGUUCACUUCAUAAUACUGCUGAAUGUAUUUGGAGAAAUAUCAUAUACUGUAAUUAAGGAUGAUAGUCUUAAAACAUAGUUUUAAAAACUGAGCAACCUAUAACCAUAGGACAAAGGUCACUUGGAUCACCACUAUCAUUGUAUCUUAUGUAGCACAUCUUAUCCUGAUGGCAUUAGAAGAUACCUCAAUACUAUGCUAUCAUUCCAUCACCCAACAUAGAAACACAGCUGUUUCUGGAACUAAGAACUUCCUUCUGAGUAGGUUUGGAAUUCUUUCAAUGACCAAAGAUUUGUAUUGAAACUCAGUGUCUAAAAUGGAGGUCAGAAAGCUAUAGGCUUUGGGCUAGCCCUCCACACAGCCAGGUACAAUGGCAGAGAUAUGUAGUUAUGACAGAGUAUAGAUGGCGGGAAAAGCCUAAAAUAUGUACUCUCUGACCCUUUACAGAAAAAAAAAAGAAGUCCACUCUGAUCUAACUCAAAAAAUAGACUCCAGGAUUUGGACUUUGGAAAGCUGAAUUAUAUUGGAUGAUGGUAAUAUACUCUAAUGGAUUUAUACUUCUAUGAUUUGAAUAUUAACAUACCAUUAAUAUUUUCUGGUUUGACAAAUGACAGAAUUGGGGGUGAAAUCAGUGGUUCAAUAACAUCAUCAUUAUUAGCCAAAGUAACUGUGGAAGUAAAAGUUAAAAACCCAACAAGAUCAAAGCACAAAACAAUUUGAAAAUAUUACUUGAAUUUUUACAAAACUCUUUCAUUGUUGAAUCUUCUGUUGUUGCUACUUUUCUGACAGCCUCCUGAUUUUAUCAAUAUGAUGUACCUUAGGGCCUGUCCACCUGGCCCACUCCCUUAUGGAAGAGAUGCUCACUUUUCCAAUCAAAAAAAAAAAAUGUGAUCAGGUACUUAGAACAAGUUCUGCUUGAUCUUUUGAAAGGAAGGAGGAGAGUUUCAAGUUGAACUAGACAAUGAGAAAGUAGGUAUGUAGGCAUGAAACAUUAGGAAAAGGGGGAACGAGGAAUCAUAGUUUGUGUUCUAUGUCAGGGGAAUGAAGAAGUGAGAGAAAGGACAGAAUUCAGAAAGUCUUUCAUGACAGCAGGAGACCGACAACCCUCUUCCCACUGGAAUUUAGAAGCCCCACUCAGAUAUCUGGAGUAGAUAUCUGAGGGUCAGAUCACAGAACACUUAAACUCACAGGCUUCCUGAAAAGUUGACAAAAGUUGUCUGCUAAUGAUUUAUAUUCUGAAAAUCUUGUGGGAUCUAAAAAAAAUAUAGAUCUAAUUAUCUACAUUCUACAAAUCUACAUUCUAAUAUUCAACAGAAUUUUUAUUUUAUCAUUUCACUAAGGUGGCAUGAAUUUCUUUCCCUAGGAAGGCAGCCUAAAAAGCUAAUUUUGGAGUGAACAAAGAGUCCUUCCUGGCUAUACCUUCAAAAUGUGUUCAUUGGAUGCCUUGUCAUCAGGGGACACAUACAAACGGAUGAACACAGAAUUGCUGUAUUGACCACGAAAUGUUGCAAGCGUCUGCAGAAGACUGAAUUUUCUCUCCGACCAAACUCCUUCAGGACCAAUAUUAGCUUCAAGUACGGGCCAGCGGAAAGGUGAAUGCCGCAGAAUGUGGAGCAGUGGCUUGGCAUCUGCUUUUUCGAUGGCUUCUGAAAGGGAUCAGAUAUUAAGGGAGAGUUAGAAUUGCAAACUGGAUUACCAAACUAGAAUGCAAAUAUAUCUUCUCAAGAAAAAGUGCCCAUAAGGCCCCAACUUGAAAAUUCAGUUGUUAGAGAGAGAGAAAGAGAGGUAUCCUGGAUUGAGAUUAACCCAGAUACAGAACUCUAACUCACACUUUAAUGUGACUGUCUAAAUAUGGUAUUACUGCCAGAAAGUUGAUGGAUGAACCUGUUGGAUAUUCUCUACAAUAGAAUAUGGGUUUGCUACAUUGAUCCUGGUUAAACUUAUAGUACUUGGUGGCACUAAUGCACAAUCCUAGUUUUAAAGGAAACUGAUCAAUAAAACCAAUCACUCUGCAAUAAAGUGAACUAAUGCUCCAGACCCUUGACUUUUCUGCCUUCUCCCAGUUUGCCAAAUGAUACCCCAGAUCCUAGAUCAGUUAACAUAUUUUCUAGAAGCACUG
rnacentral:lncRNA from 1 species